rnacentral:tRNA from 1 species
UGCCCUAUAGCCAAACUGGUAAGGCACCUGAUUCUGGUUCAGGCAUGUGUGGGUUCGAGUCCUGCUGGGGCAG